CCUACGGGAGGCAGCAGUGGGGGAUAUUGCACAAUGGGGGGAACCCUGAUGCAGCGACGCCGCGUGGGUGAAGAAGCGCCUCGGCGCGUAAAGUCCUGUCAGCAGGGAAGAAAAUGACGGUACCUGAUGAAGAAGCCUCGGCUAACUACGUGCCAGCAGCCGCGGUAAUACGUAGGGGGCGAGCGUUAUCCGGAUUUACUGGGUGUAAAGGGGGCGGUGACGGGGAUUCAAGCUAGAGGUGAAAGCCGGGGGCCCAACCCCGGGACUGCUAUUGGAACUGCGUAGCUGGCGAGCAGGAGGGGCAAGCGGAAUUCCUGGUGUAGCGGUGAAAUGCGUAGAUAUCAGGAGGAACACCAGUGGCGAAGGCGGCCUGCUGGACUGGUACUGACGUUGAGGCCCGAAAGCGUAGGGAGCAAACGGGAUUAGAUACCCGUGUAGUC
rnacentral:rRNA from 1 species